GUUGGGGCGCGGAUCUCGAGAGAAAAAGUCGGAGCCGGGCGCGAGGGAGUUCGCCCAGAGAGCUGGAAGGCCACGCCUCCUCGUGCCUACCCACUCAGCCUUGCAACUGGGGACAGAGCUCAGAUAUUAGAAGCUUCUGAGGUAAUACAUUUUUUGCUGAAAAUAUCUCUAUUGCUGUUCAGACUGUCUUCUGAAGAUCGAUGUCUAUUUCCUUGAGCUCUUUAAUUUUCUUGCCAAUUUGGAUAAACAUGGCACAAAUCCAGCAGGGAGGUCCAAA
rnacentral:lncRNA from 1 species